AUUUAAAUAAUUUAAUAAAAAUAUUGAUUUGUGGAGACAAAUAUAUGAAAUUUCAUUUUAAGUU
rnacentral:tRNA from 1 species